rnacentral:rRNA from 1 species
GACGAACGCUGGCGGCGUGCUUAACACAUGCAAGUCGAACGGAAAGGCCUGCUUUCCCUUGUGGGUUGCGGGUACUCGCGUGGCGAACGGGUGAGUAACCCGUGAGUGAUCUGCCCCCACCUUGGGUAUAAGCCUGGGAAACUGGGUCUAAUUCCCGAUAGAACUGCAGGGUGGUGCCUGUGGUGGGAAACGAUUUUCUAGUGGCUGGGGAUGAGCUCGCGGGCUAUCAGCUUGUUGGUGGGGUAAUGGCCUACCAAGGCGGCGACGGGUAGCAGGGCAGGGAGGGCGGACGGCCACAUGAGGACUGGGAUACGGCCCAGAGGCCGACGGGAGGCAGGAGUGGGGAAUAAUGCACGAUGGGCGGAAGCCGGAAGCAGCGACGCCGCGUGGGGGAUGACGGCCUGCGGGUUGCAAACGCCUGGCGAGCGCGAGGAAGCCACCUGGUUGGAAGGGGGGUGACGGUAGUGGUAGAAGAAGCACCGGCUAACUACGU